AUUGAACGCUGGCGGCAUGCUUUACACAUGCAAGUCGAACGGUAACAGGCCGCAAGGUGCUGACGAGUGGCGAACGGGUGAGUAAUGCAUCGGAACGUGCCCAGUCGUGGGGGAUAACGCAGCGAAAGCUGCGCUAAUACCGCAUACGAUCUAUGGAUGAAAGCGGGGGACCGUAAGGCCUCGCGCGAUAGGAGCGGCCGAUGUCAGCUUAGGUAGUUGGGGGGGUAAAGGCUCACCAAGCCAACGAUCUGUAGCUGGUCUGAGAGGACGACCAGCGACACGGGGACUGAGACACGGCCCAGACUCCUACGGGAGGCAGCAGUGGUGAAUUUUGGACAAUGGGCGCAAGCCUGAUCCAGCAAUGCCGCGUGCAGGAAGAAGGCCUUCGGGUUGUAAACUGCUUUUGUACGGAACGAAACGGUCCUGGUUAAUACCUGGGGCUAAUGACGGUACCGUAAGAAUAAGCACCGGCUAACUACGUGCCAGCAGCCGCAGUAACAC
rnacentral:rRNA from 1 species